rnacentral:piRNA from 1 species
UACUCAGCUAUUAAAAA